rnacentral:rRNA from 1 species
AUGAGGGCCACCGGAGAGCACGCCGCCGCCGCCAUCCCCGUCCGCGCCUCGCCGUCGCCGCCGCCCCACACGGAGGACGACGCCGAGCGGAGGCGCCGACGCCGGCCCGCGCGCCGCCCCAAGCAGGCCACGACGCCGCCGCCGCCGCCGCAGGUCGACGCGGCGGGGCCCAGCCCGUGCAGAUCGAUGCCGCCCAUGCGCGCCGACUCCCGGCUCGACGCCGCGGCGCUGGCCGAGGCGGCCGGGACGAGCCGGUCCUGCCCCCUGCUGCCCACGCCGUCCCGCAUGGAGGCGCGCGGUCCGGUCGUGGGCACGGGCGCGGGGGCUCCCAGGAGGCUCUUCUUCCCGCCCUACUGGCCCGAGCAGGUCGUGGAGGACGCCCUCAAGAGAGGGAAUGUCUUCGCGGGGAAGUUCCGUGUGAAUGCUCACAACCGAAACGAGGCGUACUGCACGAUCGAGGGCAUACCUGUGGAUGUUCUCAUUACCGGGCCGGCGCAAAACCGAGCGAUUGAAGGUGAUGUUGUUGCCAUCACAUUGGAUCCUGUUGUUUACUGGACUAGAAUGAAAGGGCAGAACAUUGCAUGCAACCCUGCCACUGGAGGAGUUUCUGUUGCUCGUGAAGUUAGUGAAACAAAUGGGAACCAUAGUUUGAAGAAAGGACAGGCAGAUGCCAGCUGUAGGUUUGAAAAGUGCAGUAAUGGCCAACCUGUUCCGGACAGGAUGCAUAACCAUCACAAGAACAGUGGUUUUAGUCAAGCUGUUAUUUGUGAAAAUGGGCAUGCUACUGUCCCAGCGAAUUAUGAAGACCUGGAUGAAGCUAAGACCGAGUUUGCAAGAGCAGUACAGAGGAUCUGUUCUGUGAUAUACAAUCACCCAAGCAGACGCCCUACCGGUAAAGUAGUAUCUGUCAUAAAGAAGUCUCCUCGCCGUAGUACUGUUGUAGGUUUCCUUGCUCCUUUCUCAGAUUUCCCCGAUGGAGAGCAGAGAAAUCAGAUGAAUGUGCAGGGUUCCAAGAGGAUGAACCAUAUAUCAUCCUCAAUUUUCACAGGCUUGGUUCAAAUCUUGCCUACUGAUCCCAAGUUCCCGCAGAUGAUUGUUAGUAUUAGCACUUUGUCAGAUGGUAUCAAACAGAGGCUGAAAGAAGGUGAUACAACUAUUUGGAAGGAAUUAGUUGCUGCACAGAUUGAUGAAUGGAAUGAGGAAAGUCCCUAUCCCUGGGCUUGUGUCGUACAGUUCUUGGGAAAGGGUGGACAGGUUGAAACACAUAUGGAUGCUAUACUGUUUGAGAAUGCAAUAUCUGAUGUUGAAUUUUCCCCUGAGUCCAUGGCAUGUCUCCCUGACACUUGCUGGAAGAUUUCACAAGAAGAACUUGGAGCAAGAAAGGAUCUAAGAAAUGUUUUGACCUUGACAAUAGACCCUCCUACUGCUUCGGAUCUUGAUGAUGCAAUAUCUAUUGAGACACUUUCUGGAGGAAUUGUCCGUAUUGGGGUCCAUAUUGCGGAUGUUUCUUACUUUGUUCAUCCAGAGACUGCAUUAGAUGCUGAGGCUCAGAUUCGGUCUACUAGUGUUUACACCUUGCGACGUAAAGUAUCAAUGUUGCCUUCAAGACUUUCAGAAGAACUAGUUUCGCUUAAUCCUGGGGUAGACAGGCUUGCCUUUUCUGUUAUUUGGGACAUUGAUCCUCAUGGCAGCAUAGUUAAUCGCUGGAUUGGUCGUACCAUUAUCUUUUCAUGCUGCAAGCUGUCAUAUGAUCUCGUGCAAGAUCUGAUUUCUAGUGAUUCAAGCCAGUUUAGAUCUGCAGCUGCAUCUCUUCAAGUGCAUGGCAUGUUUAAACAUGAGGAUGUUAUAAAGUCUCUUCGAUGCCUCUAUGAGAUCUCGAAAAAUCUGAAGGAUAUUAGAUUCAAGGGUGGAGCUCUUUCUCUUGACACUUCAAAGCCCACAAUCCUAUUUGAUGAAGAUGGGGCUCCAUGCGAUAGCUAUCGCUAUAAAAGGAAUGAUGCAUGUUUCAUUGUUGAGGAGUUAAUGCUGUUGGCAAAUAUGUCAGCUGCAGAAGUUAUAUCCAAUGCAUUCCCUGAUUGUGCUUUACUUCGUAGGCAUCCUGAACCUAAUCCACGGAAGCUGAAAGAAUUUGAGGCAUUUUGUGCUAAAAAUGGGUUUGAAUUGGAUUCUUCAUCAUCCGGUCAACUUCAUCUUUCAAUUUGCAGAUUGAAGGAAGAGUUGCAAGAUGAUCCUGUUAUGUUUGAUAUUCUCAUGUUUUAUGCUUCAAAGCAAAUGCAGUCUGCGGAAUACUUCUGCACAGGGGACCUGAUAAGCAAGAAGGAUGAUUGGGCUCAUUAUGCGCUAUCUAUCCCUUUGUACACACACUUCACUUCACCACUUCGAAGGUAUCCUGAUAUAAUCGUUCACAGGACACUGAAUGCAGUAAUUGAGGCUGAACAGAUGUAUCUGAAGCAAAGGAAAAUAUCCACUGGGCGGAAUGGAGUCAAAGCCACAUCUUGUGAAGUUGCGAGUAGAUGCUUUACAGGCCUUCAAUUUAGUAAGGAUGCUGCUGAAUCCAAAGAAGGGAGAGAGGCACUGUCUGCUGCAGCUAAGAAGUUUAAGGUCCCUAACUCUGAAGAUCUUGGGGAGGCUGCUGAACAUUGUAAUGAAAGGAAGUGGGCCAGUCGCCGUGCAGAAGAAGCUGGACAGAAGCUCUACAUGUGGGCUCUACUAAAGAGGAAUGAGACCCAUGUCUGUAAUGCUAGAGUUCUGGGGCUUGGACCAAGGUUCAUGUCAGUUUAUGUGCCCAAACUCUCGAUGGAACGGAGGAUAUACUAUGAUGAAGUCGAGGGAUUAUCUACUGAAUGGUUGGAAGCCACUGGAACCUUGGUGCUUGAUGCAUGCAGGAAUAGGCCCCAAAAGAGGGGAGGCCAGUUCAGAUGCAGUAGAGCAAUUGAGGAAGUCGCGGUGGUGGUGAACCCAUCCGAGCUAAUGUUACCCGAAGACAGAGAUGAAUCAGGAGCAACUGAGACUGUGGAGUCAGUUUUGCUGAGUGAUGAGGCAGUGAAAGUUGAAGUUGCCCCAGCCGUUCUGCCCAUGGUGAUAAGCUACCUGAGCGACAUCCCCGUGGUUCUUCAUGCAAUCGGUGGCGAGGAUUGUCCGGUGGACAUCGGAGUAAGACUAUACUUGUCGUCAUACUUCAAGUGA